GUGCACUUAUCGGAGCAAAACCUUUCCUGGUUUUAUGCUAACUCUGGAUAACACUGCUUAUCGCAUGACCUCGUGUCGGCGAAGUUACAUUCAAGUAUCUGCCUUAUCAACUAUCGUUGGUAGUGUAUUGGACUACCAUGGUGUUGACGGGUAACGGAGAAUCAGGGUUCGACUCCGGAGAGGGAGCCUUAGAAACGGCUACCAUGUCUAAGGACAGCAGCAGGCGCGCAACUUAUCCACUGUUCAUUGAACGAGAUAGUGACGAGAAAUAACAAGCUCAUUCUCUAUGAGGUUGAGCAUUGGAAUGGACCGAAUCUAAACAAUUCGGUGAGUACCCAUGAGAGGGCAAGUCUGGUGCCAGCAGCCGCGGUAAUUCCAGCUCUCACAAUAUAUAGAAUUAUUGUUGCGGUUAAAAAGUUCGUAGUUGGAUUUUCUACUGCUCGCGGGUCGUGCUUAACGGCGCGCACUCGCGGCAGUAUUUGUGUGCUGUGGGCUUGCCCACCGCACACGGAUUACUUUGAACGGCUUAAGUGCUCAAGGCGAGUCUUCGGACUGAAUACCGGUGCAUGGAAUAAUGGAACAAGGUUUCGGCCGAGUUUUAUUGGUUUUGUCGGCUGAGACAAUGGUUAACAGGAACAGCUGGGGGCACUCGUAUUGCUGCACGAGAGGUGAAAUUCGUGGACUGCAGCAAGACGCCCGAAAGCGAAGGCAUUUGCCAAGAGUGUUUUCAUUAAUCAAGAACGAAAGUCAGAGGUUCGAAGGCGAUUAGAUACCGCCCU
rnacentral:rRNA from 1 species